rnacentral:misc_RNA from 1 species
AUUUGCCCGCUUGCCUCUUGGCCUUGUGGGGUGUGGUUCGUUUACUGGUGCUGGGUCUAUCGAACGCGCCGGCGCUUGAGUGGUAAUGGGAUUGUUUACGUCGGUCGGCUCUGUGCCCGUGCAUCGAACGGCUGACGUGCUUCCCCUUCAUUGUCCCCGUUUGCCUUCGCGGCAUCGGUGCUUGUGGCGGGGUUCCUGUGUUGCCUACCUGCUUAACGGUAUUUGUGGGGGUUUGUGGAGACUCGUUCCACCCAGUCCAACUUACUGGUGGAUUCCGAAGCAGCGCUUGCCAUCCACGCUAGCCUUGUACUUCCUUGGCUUGCGUGGCACGCUCGUGUCUGCUGAUCUCUCGGAUACGGUGUAUGCUGUGAACGUGGGUUUGGUGUCCCAUGUUGUCCCUCGAAUUUUCGGUUGCCUCGAAUGACGGUUGCCUUGGCGGACGUCCUGCUCACCUCGUGUGUGGCGGCGCUUGCGCCAAUGGCGAAGUCAUGAACGGAUGCUACCUG